UACGUAGGGCGCAAGCGUUUGUCCGGAAUUAUUGGGCGUAAAGAGCUCGUAGGCGGCUUGUUGCGUCGGUUGUGAAAGCCCGGGGCUUAACCCCGGGUCUGCAGUCGAUACGGGCAGGCUAGAGUGUGGUAGGGGAGAUCGGAAUUCCUGGUGUAGCGGUGAAAUGCGCAGAUAUCAGGAGGAACACCGGUGGCGAAGGCGGAUCUCUGGGCCGAUACUGACGCUGAGGAGCGAAAGCGUGGGGAGCGAACAGG
rnacentral:rRNA from 1 species